rnacentral:lncRNA from 1 species
UGGUUUUCAUUUUAAAAUAACUCCCUCUGAAGAGAUACCGAUUGCCCUCCUGGUGUCUGAGCGUACAAUGUGAAACAAUGCCUGAUGUGCAUCAUGAAGUUCAACAGCGUUUGGUAGCUUCAGGGCUCCCUGACAACUUUAUCAAAUGACCCCACGUAGCAGGAUGAGAAAAAUAUGAAGACUUUUUUAAACUCCCCAAAACCUUGGCGUUUGCAGUAAUGGUCUCUUUGCCUCUGUCAGCCUAUGAGGGCAAAUGGGAAUGAACCAUGGGAUGGGUGUGAGAAGCCAGGACCACGCAAUUUUCAUGUCACGCUGUGCCUUGGGCAGAAGCUUCCAGUCAUCUGACCCUGUCCUCAGCAUCUGUUUCCCCGAAUUGCAAAUAGUUCCAUUACCAUCAUGCUGUUUUAUGUCCUGCAAAUGCAAAUUUGCCCUAUGACAGAGUGAGUUCUAUGUCUGAUGGAGAUUUCGCCAUCCCGUAUUGUGUGUGUGCAGGUCCUACGCAAGCCUAAGAAAAACCUUCUGAUGUGUACUACUGAUUGUUUACAUAUGUUAUCAGAGGGGAAAAAAAAGCAGGAAAGGAAAGCUGGCAGCUUACACUGCCAAGAGACCUGGCAGUGGCUAUAAUCACAUUUAGAUCAUUUCCAGUCAAUAGACUUUGUUUUCAUUUUUAAAAGAACCCUUCCUAGAAAGUUGCUGCACUGUUCUUUUUACUCUGCUACAGUCAGUCCAGAGGAAUACCUGCAAUGGCUCCUGUCCUUACAACCAAAGCAGGCAACAUCAGGAGAUGUUUCCAGAGAGAAAGUGGAAGAAAGAGCUGGUUGCUGCAAGCCUUGGUGUGCCCAUGCUUGCUUUCCUGCAGAGAGAAGAGCAACAUGGAGGCUGAGGACACAACUGCACAGAUUUCAGCCAAGGUUCCAGGUAGUUCCUAGCGCCCAGGAUGAACCCUGUUGUACCACAUAUUCACUUUUGUGAGUACUGGAUAUGCUGCCAAGGACAUAGGUAGUGUCUUAAAACUGAUUCUCUUGAGACUACUGUCUGAAUAUAUCCUUAAGUUAUUUCUGGUUA